rfam:Simiduia agarivorans SA1 = DSM 21679, complete genome.
UUUCGGUCCUCCCGCAAUGAAGUCCUGUGAACCCCGCCAGGCCCGGAAGGGAGCAACGGUAGCAGACACUUUAUGUGCCGGGAUGUGGCUGACUGGG